rnacentral:rRNA from 1 species
AACGAACGCUGGCGGCAGGCUUAACACAUGCAAGUCGAGCGCCCCGCAAGGGGAGCGGCAGACGGGUGAGUAACGCGUGGGCAUCUACCCAUCUCUACGGAAUAACGCGUGGAGACGUGUGCUAAUACCGGAUCCGUCCUUCGGGAGAAAGACUUAUCGGAGAUGGAUGAGCCCGCGUUGGAUUAGCUAGUUGGGGGGGUAAAGGCCUACCAAGGCGACGCUCCAUAGCGGGUCUGAGAGGGUGAUCAGCCACACUGGGACUGCGACACGGCCCAGACUCCUACGGGAGGCAGCAGUGGGGAAUAUUGGACAAUGGGCGCAAGCCUGAUCCAGCCAUGCCGCGUGAGUGAUGAAGGCCCUAGGGUUGUAAAGCUCUUUCAACGGUGAAGAUAAUGACGGUAACCGGAGAAGAAGCCCCGGCUAACUUCGUGCCAGCCGCCGCCGUAAGAC